CGGAAUUACUGGGCGUAAAGCGUGCGUAGGUGGUUUGUUAAGUCGGAUGUGAAAGCCCCGGGCUUAACCUGGGAACUGCAUUCGAUACUGGGCGGCUAGAGUAUGAGAGAGGGAGGUAGAAGUCCACGUGUAGCGGUGAAAUGCGUAGAUAUGUGGAGGAAUACCGGUGGCGAAGGCGGCCUCCUGGCUCAAUACUGACGCUGAGGUGCGAAAGCGUGGGGAGCAAACAG
rnacentral:rRNA from 1 species